GAAUGGGGCCAACCCUAUUUGCAUUAUUUAAUUACCAUUCCUCCUGUCUGAUCUCGGAAGCUAAGCAGAGUCGGGCCUGGUUAGUACUUGAAUGGACGACCACCUAGGAAGACCAGGUGCUGUAGGCG
rfam:Pteropus alecto contig12139, whole genome shotgun sequence.